GGUGCCUAGUGCAGUCUUGGACAGGGAAAUCCCCGUGUCACGGAGCAGCGAGGGAAGGUGAGCGUGUUGUCAGCCUAGUCGUCCCUUAUCCGAAGCGAAGGGAAGACAUUCAGGUGUUUCCCUCUGAGGGUCUGAGUAUUCCCAGGUGGCAUGGGUGAUGCUGGCUGUUCCUUUCGAGCUUGGAUCUAACUUCCAGGCUGAAACGCAGUGUGCAGUACAGGACAUCAAGACCCGAGCUAUCUCUGGAGUGACUCUGUCCUCUGCAAGGAGCUGUACUGUUUGCUUGUCCAUCACGGAUAUGACCUUCUUGUAGCCCAGGGCAUGGGCAUGGACACUUGAAUGAAGCACGAGGGCUUUGGAAGCACCUUGCGACAGCAGAGUACAUCUCCUGCCACGUUCCUGUGGCGCGCCAGGUGUCAGCGGUUCCAGUUCGUGAAAUGCUGGAGAUGCUCGGAGCGCAAGAGGAGCUGGGAGCGUGAUGCAUCAAAUUGGUAUGUUAGCUACGUGACCUUGGCUCAGCACAGUAAAUGGAAGCGCUAAGCCUGGAUCGGGAAGGUGAAGAGGAGCCUUAUGCCGGAAGCAAUGUCCUGGCUAGCCUUUGUGUUCCUUGAUAAGGAUGGAACCUGCCUCCCAUCAUUCCCAAGCUAAGC